AAAGAAUAAAAAUAGAAAUAGAAACUAGAUAAUAAUUUUAAAAGUUUACCUAUCCCAUUUUACCCUACUCUACCCUGGCUCGAAGACAAAGAAAAUUUUAUUUUAUUUAUAAGAGGUCCUACAUUCAUCAUUUAUAAAGUAAUUACUAUUUAAAGUAUUUACUAACCGCAAACCAUUGGACAACAUGUGACACCUUGAUCAUAAUCUCAUCUGCUACAAAAUUGUAUGACGAUCAACCAUACCAACUUAAGAACAAUGACAGGCUGAGUAUUGUCGCCAAUAGAACACCUUUUGGCGGGGAAAAGCGUAUAUAUAUGUUAUCUGUGGCUAAAUUAUUUUCUUUAAUCUAUCAAUCUAUCUUGUUUACCGCGAAACCGCUUUGUCCGCGAAAGAAUGACAGAUCUAUUUAUGUAUGGACCAUUUUAGCGCUAUACUGCCUACAACAUGAAUCUGUAAUAACUUAAAACAAAUGUUUUCCAUUUAAAAUUUCAAAUGUGGUCCGAAGAAUAAACUUUCAGAUCAAUGUAAAAUAUGUUUGUGUCACUAAGUCAGUUUUAAUUUUUAUAACCUAUAAAUUCGUUAGGAAAUCAGGCGAAAACGCGUUAUUUUAAUUCAUUGCAAUAAGUGUUAGGUGUACAGUAGACCUAGUAAAAUCUAGCCUAGUGCAAUGGACGUAAAUAAACUGGAUCCUUAACUUUACAGCAAAGGUAAGCUUUUGUUUUUACUCUUCAAUCUGUCAUGAAACACGAAACUCCUGAACACACCUCGUUUAAAGAGUAAACAUCAAAAAUAUAUAUUCGAUUAAUUUACUUGACCUAGGCUACCUAACUGUACUUGGAAUUUAUAAAAUUUUUGCGGUUCCAAACAAUGAAAUGACUUAAUUAUUUUUCUGAGGCAAUAGCUUAUUGAUUAUGGAAAGUAAUAUUUGUAGGCCUUCAAAUAAAUGUUAUGGCAUUUAAAAAUGAGCAUUGAGUCUUGUACAAACUUUGUAUUUUUCAGAGAUAAAGAUUGACGUUGGAUUGGACACUUAAAUAAAAUUAUGUAGACUGAAAAUCUAGACUUAAUAUAAAUAUUGUUCUUGUUACAAUGGGUUUAAACAAUGUAUGUAUUAAUUUUCAGUAUAUCUAAUCGGUAAUCAACACCUAAACAAUUCCAACUAGUUGCAAGCUGAACGGGACAAUUUUCCGGCGUGUCCUUUAUGGACUGUACUCCGUCUUAGCACUAUCCUCAAGUUUUACCCGAGAGGCCAUGCUUCAGGUUGGACCGUCUUCCAUAUAUCUACUGACUUCAUAUAAAUGAAAGUGUACUAAGGACUCGCUGAUCUGCACUACCAGCUCAUGUUCAACGUUACUGAACAACAAAGUAAUCCGACAAUCAGACUGGACCCGGUCACGUUAGAUACCAGAGGAAGACGAAAAUAUAAUUGAUUCUGUACUGAUGCAUAACUUCGCUCGGAACGCGGCAAGAAUUAACAAUGGAAGAAAAUACUACAGACGUGUUUAUUAACAAUAAAGUUAUUUUAGUUUUUAUGAAAUAGCGAUUGAAU